rnacentral:rRNA from 1 species
UACAGAGGAUGCAAGCGUUAUCCGGAAUGAUUGGGCGUAAAGCGUCUGUAGGCGGCUUUUUAAGUCCGCCGUGAAAUCCCAGGGCUCAACUCUGGACAGGCGGUGGAAACUACCAAGCUGGAGUACGGUAGGGGCAGAGGGAAUUUCCGGUGGAGCGGUGAAAUGCGUAGAGAUCGGAAAGAACACCAACGGCGAAAGCGCUCUGCUGGGCCGACACUGACACUGAGAGACGAAAGCUAGGGGAGCGAAUGGG